AUAUCAAUCAGCGGUGGAAAAGAAACCAGCUGGGAUACCCUCAGUAAUGGCGAGUGAAGGGGGUAUAGUCCAACCUCAAAGGUAGUCAAAUACCAAUGUGGGGUUUGAGAAUGAGUACAAGAUGGGAGAUGAUGAAUGAAAUCUGUUGGAAUACAGUACCAUGGAGGGUGAUAGUCCCGUAAUUGAUCGUCUCCUGUCUUUAGUCUCGUUUUUAUGAGUCGAACUAUUUGGGAGUAUAGUUCAAAAUCGGGUGGUAAAGUACAUCCAAGACUAAAUACAGAGCGAGAGACCGAUAGCGCACAAGUA
rnacentral:rRNA from 1 species